CUCCAUACGGACACCCAAGGAGGGCUGAGCCGUCCCCGCCUCCCCGGGAGCCGCCUGGGCCGGGGAUGGGGAACACGGAGAGCGGGGAGCCGGGCGGGGGGUCCGGGCUGCUGCCGCCCCCGCCCGGGAAGGUGCCCAUGCCGGACCAGGGGGAGCUCGAGGAGAGAUUCGCGAUGGUGCUGAGCUCUAUGAACCUGCCUCCCGACAAGGCCCGUCUCCUGCGACAGUAUGACAACGAGAAGAAGUGGGACCUCAUUUGUGACCAGGAAAGAUUCCAGGUGAAGAAUCCACCUCACACAUAUAUCCAGAAAUUGAAAAGCUUUCUUGACCCAGGAGUCACCCGGAAGAAGUUCCGUCGGAGAGUGCAGGAAUCUACCAAAGUGCUGAGGGAGCUGGAGAUCUCUUUAAGGACCAACCACAUUGGGUGGGUGCGCGAGUUUCUCAAUGAUGAAAACAAGGGCUUGGAUGUGCUGGUGGAUUAUCUCUCCUUUGCACAAUGUGCAGUGAUGUUUGAUUUUGAGGGUCUGGAAAGUGGCGAGGAUGGAGCACUAGAGAAGCUGAAAUCCUGGAGCAGGUCCAUAGAGGAUCUGCAGCACCCCAGCACCCUGUCUGCUCCCUACGCCAACAGUCUUGCUCGCUCUGCACGCCAGUCUGCUCUCCGAUACACUACCCUUCCCAGCAGGAAAGCCCUGAAGAACUCACGGCUAGUUAGCCAGAAGGAUGAUGUCCAUGUGUGUAUCCUGUGCUUGCGGGCCAUCAUGAACUAUCAGUACGGAUUCAAUUUGGUCAUGUCACAUCCUCAUGCUGUGAACGAGAUUGCCCUCAGUUUGAACAAUAAAAAUCCCAGGACUAAAGCUCUGGUGCUAGAACUGCUAGCUGCUGUCUGCUUGGUGCGUGGUGGCCACGAGAUCAUUUUGGCUGCCUUUGAGAACUUCAAAGAGGUUUGCAAAGAGCAACACCGCUUUGAGAAACUGAUGGAAUAUUUCCGCAAUGAGGACAGCAAUAUUGACUUCAUGGUAGCCUGUAUGCAGUUCAUCAACAUUGUGGUACACUCUGUUGAGGACAUGAACUUCCGGGUGCAUUUGCAAUACGAGUUCACCAAACUAGGUCUGGAAGAAUUCUUACAGAAGUCGAGGCACACAGAAAGUGAGAAGCUGCAAGUGCAGAUCCAGGCUUACCUGGACAACGUGUUUGAUGUGGGUGGGCUGCUGGAGGAUGCUGAGACCAAGAAUGUGGCACUGGAGAAAGUGGAGGAGUUAGAAGAGCACUUAUCACAUUUGACAGAAAAGCUGCUGGAUCUAGAGAAUGAGAAUAUAAUGCGAGUGGCAGAGUUGGAGAAGCAACUACUACAGCGGGAGAAGGAACUGGAGAUUGUCAAGGAGACCUAUGAAAGUGCCAGCAACCAAGUGCACACGCUGCGCAGAAUCAUCAAGGAGAAGGAAGAGGCUUUCCGGCGUCACUAUACCACCCACCCUGCUGGGAGCGACCACCUGCCGCUGCCGCCACCUCCGGAGGUGGAGAUCAACUUUAGCGACCUCCCCGAGGAUGACCUCCGCCUCCCCGUCCUGCCUCCCAUGGAGGCUGCUCCUCCACCUCCACCUCCUCCGCCACCUCUUCCCCCACCCCCUCCUCCGCUACCAGAUAAGUGUCCACCAGCCCCGCCACUUCCUGGCACAUCCCCCUCUGUGAUCCUCACUAUGGGCUUAUCAGCAAUCCGGAUUAAGAAGCCCAUCAAGACCAAAUUCCGCUUGCCAGUCUUCAACUGGACAGCACUGAAGCCCAACCAGAUCAGUGGCACUGUCUUCAGUGAACUGGAUGAUGAAAAGAUCUUGGAGGACCUUGACCUGGACAAGUUUGAAGAGCUCUUCAAGACCAAAGCCCAGGGCCCUGCCAUCGACCUCCUGUGCAAUAAGAACAAGGCGUCCCACAAAGCAGCCAGCAAGGUCACCCUGCUGGAGGCCAACCGGGCCAAGAACUUGGCCAUCACAUUGCGCAAGGCAGGCCGGAGCACGGAGGAGAUCUGCAAAGCCAUCCACACGUUUGACCUGAAGACACUACCAGUGGACUUUGUGGAGUGCCUCAUGCGCUUCCUGCCAACAGAGAACGAGGUCAAGCUGCUGAGGCAGUAUGAGAAGGAGCGGAAGCCGCUGGAAGAGCUGUCAGACGAGGACCGCUUCAUGCUCCACUUCAGCAAGGUUGAGCGCCUGACGCAGCGCAUGGCCAUUAUGGCUUUCCUGGGCAACUUCAGUGAAAACAUCCAGAUGCUCAUGCCGCAACUGAGCGCUAUCAUUGCCGCCUCAGCAUCAGUCAAGUCUUCGCAGAAGCUCAAGCGUAUGCUGGAGAUAAUCCUGGCCCUUGGCAACUAUAUGAACAGCAGCAAACGUGGCUCAGUUUAUGGUUUCAAAUUGCAGAGUCUCGACCUGCUCUUGGACACUAAGUCAACUGACCGGAAACUGACACUCCUGCACUUCAUUGCCAUGAUGGUGAAGGAGAAGUACCCAGAGCUGAGCACCUUCUGGCAAGAACUGCACUUUGUGGAGAAGGCAGCUGCAGUAUCGCUGGAGAAUGUGCUGCUGGAUGUCAAGGAGCUGGGGCGUGGGAUGGAGUUGAUCCGGCGAGAGUGCAGCCUGCACGAGCAUAGCAUCCUGCGGAGCUUCCUCAGCGCCAAUGAGGGGAAGUUGGACCGGCUGCAGAAAGACGCCAAGACCGCUGAGGAGGCCUACAACACCGUCGUGCGCUAUUUUGGCGAGAGCCCCAAGACAACACCCCCCUCCGUUUUCUUCCCAGUCUUUGCACGCUUCAUCCGAUCCUACAAGGAUGCAGAGCAGGAGAACGAGCUACGCAAGAAGCAGGAGCAGGCCCAAAGGGAGCAAGCCCUGGCCCAGGAAGCCAAGCGGCUGGAGAAGCGCAAUAAGUGGCAGCAGCAGGAGCUGAUCGCUGAGCUGAGGCGGCGCCAGGCCAAGGACCACCGGCCUGUCUACGAAGGCAAAGAUGGGACCAUUGAGGAUAUCAUCACAGUGUUGAAGAGCGUCCCCUUCACUGCCCGCACAGCGAAGCGGGGGUCUCGCUUUUUCUGCGAGCCAUCCCACCAUGACGAGCCUAACUGUUAGCUCCACUCUCUCCCGCCCUGCCAAAGGUACCCGUGGAACGUCGCCUCCCCUUCUGCAUGCGGUUCCUCCUCCCCACGGAGCCUGGGCUUCCCCCCCUGCCUGCCUUGCUAUGUCUCCUCCCAUGAGCUCAGGGCUUCUCAACUUCUCCUCGCUUCUGGAGAGCCGCCCUCGGUCUCCGCAGGCGUAGGGCCACUCUGCUGCCCUGGCAGUGUUCCUCAGGAAGCCGGACGGCACCGGAGGCCUCUGUGAGCAGUUCCUUCCAGGAUGCCUGCCCGCUCCCACUAGGGUGGCCGGAAGUGCAAGGCAGGGCUCCAGCGCCUCUCAGCAGUUGUGUCAAAGCAGGGCAAUUUCAGCAGGGGCAGCUUCUUCGCACUUUUAUGCGACGAGCCACACCUGCCAGAAUCCCUUCUUUUUGCAGAAUUCUGAAAAGGGGUACGAGGAUUUCUGUCUGAUCAGCGGAGCAAACUGCAUCUCAUCGUUGUACAAUUUCACGGUUCUCUUUGCUAACAUGAGGGUUAGAAACAUGCUGAUCGUUUCAAAGGAAGCAGAAAAUGGAAUGCUUUUUAAAAAGAGGGCCAUUGAGUCCCCCCCAAAUGCCUGCUCACAUCCGCGUCCUCCUCAUGGUUGAGAAUCCCUGCAUGGAAUCAGAGGAACCUCCCGCAUGUGUCGUUCGGGGCAUGGUUGGCAUGAUGAGGUGGGCACGGAAGCCCCGUCCAGAUUUGCAUGCCUCGUUCUGCGGUUCGUCGGUGGGGCUGCCUUAUCAUCACACUAAUGCAGUAGAGUAGCUUACUAAAUCUUCUCUUGGUUUAUGGGGUUGGGGGUGUCAUGUGGCUUGCUGAUGUCCAAAUGCUGGGUGGGGUGGAAACGACAUGUCCCAUUUGUAUGAAGAAAGCCACAGAUACUUUGCUCCAGAACACAGGGCCCAAGCACCUAUUUACUGGCAGGUAUCUCUUAUGGUAAAGCUUUCCCUAGGCUAGCGCUGGGCAGCAGGACUCCAGAGGUCGAGUUCAAGCCCCUAGAAUGCCCCUGGGGCCACACUUUCAUCCCACAGCUUGCUUCAUAGCUAAAUUUAUCCCUUUUGGCCACUCUAGUGGUCUGCCACUGAAAUUCAGUGGCAAGCAGUGCAUUGUUUUAAUGACACCACUGCAGCAAAUACUGUGCUGCCCUCUGUGGCACUUAAAGCCAGGGCAAGCACGGGGCUCACAGACUAGGUGUCGCCCAGCUUUGCGUUGGCUCUGCCAUUUCAGGUUGCAGGAGAGAGGGUGCCUGAUUGAUUACCCACUGUGUCCUUGCACACAGAAAAAUAGCAUGCUGCACCGAACUCGUUUCUGAAGCCUUGUGGCUUUCUGAAUUUUUGUGGAUUGCAUUCAAAGGGCUGCAGUCAGCAUAAGCCCAAACUAUUCAGGGCUUGUCCACACACUGACAUCCAGCACUGCCAUGCGAGACAUGCCCCGUGGCCCCGUUUUCCUCGGGAAUCUCCAUGCAGCUGCAGUGGCGGUACUCUCCUCUUUGAGGCACUUGGCCAAACAAGGCAGACUGGAGCUUGGUGAAGCCGUGGUGCAUGUGGACCGUGGAGAAUCAAAUGCACCACUUAAACGCAUCUGGUUCUCAUUGCUAACAACGCGUGGGCUGAACUGGAAGUCAGAGGCUGGGCGCUGGGGGGUUUGGCGAGAAGAGUGCCGUGCUGCCAUCUGCAAUUGCCCCCCACCCCACCAGCAAUCGGGUGAGCUAGUCCCACGGCAGUGCUUCUCUAGAUUCUGUGUAUCCUGACAAGGCCAGCCAGGUGAAGACAGAUUCCACUGGGGAGAGGCAUAGGCCCCCUCCCCAGUUUGGCCUAAUUUUUGUUUUUAAUCUCCUCCCUAACAGCAAGAACCUCCCCAAUUUGGCCUAAUUUUUGUUUUUAUCCCCUCCAUAGCAGCAAGAACCAUCCGCCUCUAGUUCCCUCUCAGUUCAUCUGCGGGAGCCCUGCCUGUCCUGCUGUUCAGCCGGCUGAUGCUGCAUUCCAAUGGCUCAGGCCCAGUUCUGUUUUGCCAAAGAACCAGCUUCCAUCCUUCCGAAGAUUUUCUAAUGGAAGAACCAAAGGGACCUUUAGGAAGUGCCUUACUGCAACAGUAUUAUUGUUAUUCUCUUAUUAUUUAAGAUGUAUUUUUUAAUCUGUACAUAUAUGACAAUUCCCAUCAGCCCUUGCUUUUGCUGCCUCUUCCUGAGUCAGCCCCAAAAGACAAGACUGUUCUGGCUCUUGAGUAGUGCCUUCCGCCAGCAGAUGGCUGACUUCCCCUUCGAGAGCCUCAGUCCUUUGAGCAUCCGGACCAGAAUUGCACUUUGACCUCUCAGCAACUUGUCUUUAGCGGAUGGAGACGAUGGACACCGUCAUGUUUCAGUCCUGACACUUUGCAACUGGGGGUGGGGGUGAUUUUUGGUAGGAGACUUUAGUGUCUGGCGCUGGUCUUACAGGCCUGCAGUGCUUUUCCAGGAGCUGCCUUCUGCAAUACUGCUGUGGUCUUCUCAGAUCAGGCCAUCAGCUGGCAUUAAAGUGUUUAAACGCGAGGCUGAGCUGGCCUUUGAAAAACCACUGGAACCUUUCUUCAAAAGGGAAAACCUUCAGACCAAUGUUUCAUAUCACAACUGCACAAAGUAACCCCGGUUGUUGGCGCACCAGGGAGCAACUGUGGUGACCCAGUUCUUGAUGAUCACAAGGAGGAUCCUGGGUAGGUCAAAGGCUGCUUUUGACAUUGCCCAAGAUUUUUUUUAUACUAUUAUGAUUAUUUGUACUAUUAUUUUCCAAAGGACCAAAAUCUGUUUCGACUUUGUUGUGGUAUUUUAUAGAAACAUCUUUUCUCAUUUAUUGGACCAACUGCCAUUAACACUUUACAAGGCUAUUUGAUAUGCUUGUUAUGUUCCCAUGAAGUCCUGAGUACAAGCACCAGUGGCUAAGACAUGUACAGCUGUGUCCCUCAUGGGGGCCAGAGCAAGACUUUUGAUACCUUUGCUACCUGAGGUGAAAAAGCUAAACUUUGAUCAGACUCUUCCCCAUAGAGCUGGAUGCUGUCUGACAGGUAACAAAUAAUAAUAACUUUUUCAAAAAGUGAGGGAUUAGCAUGAGGGGAGCCAUUUUGAGUUUGCUGAUGGCUGACAGAGAUUGCUGCUGAUUAACAUGAACAGAACCCACCAGACAGUUCCCAGUGCAAGUCUCAUUGAAAGAAGUCAGGAGUCUUGCACUGAAGAACAUUCCAGUAGGUAUUACCUCAAGAGUCAUGUUGGUUUGCUCUCUGCUCUUCCACCUUUAAGGGCGCCACAGAUCUGCUGCUUCAGUUGCACCAUGGUUAAGACCAUUCUGGUCCUUGUAGCAUUUGCAGCCAUUGCUGCAUUGACACCUGACAACUGUAGGCCUGCAGUUCUGGCCACAGUGCUUCUCAAGACAAUCAGAGCAAGGGGACAGACUUUGUCUCCUCUGAAACCCGCAUGGAUGGAUGGAUGGAUGCGUUUUUUGACCAAAGUUAUUUGCCCAUAAGGUAUUAGAGCUGCAGAUCUUGUUAGGAUAAAGCCAUUUGAUAAUGAAAGCAGAACUGUUUCUUCAAUUGUUUGUAUGUUUGUUUUAAUUCAGGGAAGCUACUUGUCUCCUUCAAAUUUUUAGCUACUUUCUGGAACGAGGUUAUGCUAAAGAGGUUUCUAUAAGCCCCUAAAGAGACCAUUAAGGACUGGUUCCAGCAGAAUAUUAUGGCAUUUUCUUUGAUCCUGUGUAAGUUUAAAUGCACAUGUCAUUGCAAGCCCAACCCAGGUGCGGACCCUGUUAUAGAUGGGUCUCAUUUGCAGGCUAAGAACUAUGGCUUCAGCCUCACAGAAGGGCAUUUGCACAGCACAGUGCUCCUGUGUGACUUUGGUCCCUUAAGCCUGUGCAAAGAUCAUCAGGAUUGCCAAGGACACGCGGCAUCCUGGUCACCUGGACAUGGGAGGAAUUGGCGCAAGCACUCCGUCAAGGGAGGCUCAGGAAGUCCUGAUCGGUCAUGCCUGUGGAAGGCAGAGCUGCUUGCAGCUGUCGGCCAAGUUUGUCCUGCCAGGAGUGUCUCCUGCUGUGGGGCCUUUUGUGUCUAGAUCAGGUGAAAGAAAUGCCAUGGCGUCUGCUGGGGGCCCCCCGUGAGGCCCAGGAAAAUGUGGCUCUGCAGCGUAUGUCUUGCACUCUUCUCAGCUUAUGCCAGUGGGUUUGCAUCCUGUCCAAAGGCAGCCUCAGCUCUGCUACUGAGGAACAUACCCCGCCUGUUGCUUCAGGGGAGCUCAGCGGCACUGUUGGGCCACAUGCUUUGCAGGCAUUUGCUCCCGGGCUCAAGCCCCAGGUGCUUUGUGUAGAAGGAUCUCAGGUGAAAGUACUGGGAAGGAGCACUCCCUGACCUUGGAAAGCUGCUGCCAGUCAGAGCAGGCAGUACAAGGCGGACCAGCAGUUGGACGUGCAUGCUCAUCUGCCUGUGGUUACACAGAAUGAAGGGCUACUAAUGUAAAAGAUGCUUUCUCCCAAGUAAGAGGGCACAGGACUGCAGCAUUAGAAGGAGACCCGGCCCUUCCAUUGGGAUUUAGGACACAGCACAGCAAAGCUGAAUAGAUUGUAGAGAAUUUCGGGGCUCUGCAAAACAGAACAUUCUUCUUUCACCAACAGAACUAGCAGGUUCUAGGCCUCCCUCCCUCCAUUCCUUCCUUUUGUGUCAUUGUAUGCUGGGUUUAUUUUGCCUUUUAUUUCUUGCCAGUGAAUAUGAAAGUUUGAAAAACAGUUUUCAUAAAAUUUGAAGUCAAACCUUUUAAAUAUUCCAAGGAACUUCCAAAAUUACCUUCUUGGGCAAAAACAGCAUUCAGGUUUUGAAGCACAGUAUUCAAAGAAAAUCCCCCAAAUCCAGCACCCACAUCCACUUCAACAUGGAAAUGUGACUUACAUCACUUGCAUCAAAGAUGCAGGCACCUGAAGCCUGGGCAGAAUGGAGGCUGCUACUCUUUACUUGCAAAGAGUCUUCCUUACCUCAUUGUCCUCAACUGUGUUUGCUACCAUUGGACUGGGACCUUCUCCAUUAAUAUCAACCACUCCUGCUCAAUAACUGGAGGGACUAUGUGACCGAGCCCUUAGAGUGUUGGAUAAUCUGCUUAAUUCAAAAGGCUGCUUACUUUUCUUGAAAAUAAUUGUCUAUAUCAUGGGACAUGUGUUAAAGCCAAUAACGAGCUGCCUCUGCUCUGCGGCUGUUUCCUUGUUGCAGACGUGGAGCUAAACAUGCUUGGAAAGGUACAUACCCCCUCCCACCUCCUCCUCUUCCUGCUCCUCUAUUAAUGGAGUAAGGAGAGGCAGAACAGUUCCUCACAUCUUUUUUGCAUAUUCCUGAUAACAUCAUCCUGACAUUAAUGCCAUUUCUACUCAGGAGAUGAGAACGAGCAGCACUCCUCUGUGAAGUGCUGCAGAUGGGCAGCAGUGCAUUCCUGAAUCAGAGCAUGGGCCUGUGUUUUGUUUUCAACAGUGGCCAGCCAGAGGCCUUUCAAAAGCUCUCUGUAGAUACAUAUCCAUGAUUGCUCAGCAAAUACGAUUACUCCUUACUGCCCUUUCAUGCAGUUUGUAAAUAACUGUUGCAUCCAGAUGAUACUCCAGCAGAUAAUUUUGGGCAGGGCUGGUUCAAGUGUCAAAAGACAGGCUUAAAUAGUUAAGACUAACACUUGUACUUCUGGUGGGCUAAUAGCUUUUAUAGACCUUAUUGCCAAAGAUGCUUUUAGCUACACAAUAAUGCUAAAAAAAACAAAAACUGGAAACACAAGUGAUAGAUUUCCCUAUCGUAUCGGUGUUAUAGGCUGAGUGGAAGUUCAGAUCCUUGUUGCUCGUUAGUUUUUCUGGGUUAGUAAUCUAAAUAAUGUCUCCGUGUGCUCAGUGCUCCCUCAGAAUCAGCAGGCAAUGCUCUCGGAGUGUUAAGGCUGUGGUUGUCGCCAUUGUGGGGUGGGCAGCCGCAGAGACAAGGGCUUCUGCUGAGGAUUUUCAAGAGUGCUCCGCCCUGAUCUGUCGCUUGACCUCAGCAAGUCACGCAGGCCCUUGUCUGAACGGUUCAGCGAGUGAGACAGACGCUGCGUAGCAAAGGAAAGCAGCAGGGCUUGCCCCCUCUUUUUGUGCCUGUGCCUGUUGGAGCAUGUGUGGCCAGUUGCAUCGUAUGGCAUGUGAUUUGCGAACAAAGGCCCGCUCUCCCUGGGCCUGGCAAACGCAGCAGGAAAGUGCAUGGGGGCAAGGAUACGCCAAAGCUCAGUAGCGAAACCUGAGCAGGAGUGCAUGGAACAGAGCAGUGGGCCAUGGGGGAAUCGUGUGUGCGUGCGUGCAUCCCUCUCUAGCAGGGGUGCAAAAUCACUGCUUCCCGGGUGGUCAGAAGUAUACAGAUGCUUUGUAAUGUCAGAGAGAACCAUGGGAUUCAAGUACCAAGGUGAUUGUGUGUGUGUGUGUGUGUUGCAAGCCCAAAUUCCUUGUCCGGUCAGAUGGCCUUGGACAAGUUGAUGUCAUUUGGAUCACUCAAGCACUCCAGGGAUUUGGAAGACAUAAUCAGUAGGCAAAGUCUACAAUAGGGGAUGAGACAAAGGGCUGUAAUGGUGCAGUUGUUUGCACAGGAUGAGGUUAGGAAGGCUGAUGAUGAAAGGUUUUUCCUUCAGAAUCUGCGCAGCAUCCAACAGCAUGCUGAUAUCUCAGGGAAAUCGGGGCAAGCAGCAAACAUUAUUGAUGUUGCGCUACAGAAGGUUACACUAGUGCAACACAAUUUCUUUUAGCAGUCACAGCCUGUUGGAUACUGCCCUCUGAUGCUGAUCUCACUGGACUAGCCCAGCAUGUAUAUUUUCAGUUUCUGCAAAGUGUGGGAAACUGUGCUGAAGAAUUCCACAUAUCCAAAGGAACACAAAUUUGUACACAUUGCAAAUCCCAUUGGUUACACAUAGGUUAGGUGGAACAGAGGAAGAAACAUGUCUUAAGUUACUCCUGUUCCACUAGUCAGAGCAGACUUUAGGGGGUUAGUCCCACAUGCCUGUGGCACAUGGGGUGCCACCUUUUCUAUUGACAGAAGCUUUGUUUAAUCUGUGCGUGUUACGUAAAAAUUUAGCACUUUUCCCUUUUCGCUAGGCAUGGAAUUGCAGCAAUAUAAAUUACGAUGAUGCUUCUGGGAAUGGGCUGUAAGUGAAGCAUUUCUACAGGAAGCCAUGCAUAGCGAUGGAUCUGUCUCACACACAUGUGAAAAAGUCCACCCAAGCUGAGUUCCGGGCUUGCCAGAAUGAAAGCAAGCCCCGAAGCUGCCUGUGCCAACCACAUUUGAGCCAUGGAGGAGACCAUGCAGGCCAAAGGAGGUAUUCUGCCAGGGUACCUGCAAAGGCAGCAUCACAGGGCCCUGGGCAGAACAGCUUAACUUGGCCACAAUAAGGAUUGCCAUGGCCCUGGCCAGUUGGGGUGGCUUGAUCCCAAGUUGCGGUCUCUGGGAUAGUUCCUGCCCUGGAGUUUUCGCCCUCCUCCCUUGCCCUCUGGCGGGCAGGAAUGUUUAGUCAUCUCACAGCAAGAGGACGGGUGAAAGGCAGUGAGCUGCCUUGGGGGUGCCUUGCAGGAGCAAAAGGGGCUGAGCCCUUCCUGCACAGAAAGGCCUGGCAGGCUGAAGGCAGGGGAAGAGCAGCGAGCUGCGGAACAGUGGGCUUGAGGGAGAGGGACUGUGCAGCACUUAUUUAGAAGAGGUAGGUUAAAUAUCAAAAAGAUAGUGGGAGUCAUGAAUAGCGUGUGUGGGUGUGAGAGAGAGAGUGGAGGGAACCCAAUUCGGUUGAUGUAUUUCUAAGUAACAGGUUUGGAAGGAGUGCAUUUUGAGCAAUGCAAAGACUCAGAGCGACUCAACAUCCCGAGCAGUGCUGUUUCAAUCUUAGGCAGUUUUGGGGGAGUGGUAGAAAAGUAGGGAGGUACCUGUAGAAACCAAAAGUGUGCCCCAAAAUCCCCUGCAGAGCUAGAGAGGAAGCUGGGUUGAUGCUAUCUUUUUGCCUGUCUGUCCAUGACUAGUUGAAUGGCUGGAUAAGCCUCAAGUCUGAUUACUUGGAUCUAGAUCUCCUCACUUUUAGAUCAAUACUUUAUUCACGAUCCCAACUUGUUCUGACAACAGAGCCUGUUCACACAGGUCACUUUGUGAAUGCUGCAUGACGUGUGUGUUUCAGGCAGCCAGCCUGCCCUCACUAAGCCCCUUUGAAUGCUGGAUAGAUAUGCACUGUGAAUGGACAACCCUUGAUCCACCGCAGAAUAUAUGAUCUCAAACGGGAUAUGUUGUGAUCCUUCCACUUGCAGCUGCUCCUCAAGUGCUGAGUAACCAAUGUGUUAGCUACUACAGCACAUCACUACUCCUUACAUAGAGGCAGCUGCAGGAUACAGCUCAUUUCCUCUGAGGCACCCACAGCUGCAUGCAAACAUCUCUUCCCUGCCUAUUCUAAAGUCAAAAGGCCAGUGUGAAGUAGCCUGAAGUGACGGGCCAGUUAGCAAUCCGGAAUACCCAAGGGAGUUUCAGGGCUUCUAAACCUGACGCUUGAACCACCAUGUCAUCGGUAGCUCUCAGCACCUCUCUGAAUCCUGGAUGCCAGGGACAAGGUCCAGUGCAAACGCAGUGCCCUUUUUGUGGGCUUCCUUCCAUGGAGACAUCUGGCUGGCUGCACUUGAGCACAGAAUGCUGGGCGCAAUGGUCCCUGCUCUGUGCCAGUGUCAGAGGCGGGCGUAUGAUCCAGAGCUCCUCUGAGAACAGUGGCACUUCAGGUGAACCAAAUGCACACAUCAUCGGAGAUGUUGCAUCGUGAUUCUUGCAAACUUGAGGUGAGGGGUGGCUGGUUCACAUUUUAAUUUUCUGGUCGGGGUCAAGCAUCUUGUCUUCCUGCUUCGUUUAGCCAAGGCACACAUGAAACACUGCCAUGUGCUGUAGAACAAGGUGUUUUCCUUUUCCGGCAUGGAACUGUGAGUGCUAAGUGUAAAAAAAAGCCAGGGGUGAAAUGUCCCUAGGGACAGGUAGCAAAGAACAUUAUGACAAUGCUAAUUGGGAUGGAGCAGGAGACUGGCCAGCAGCCUUCAUUUGGGUUUGUGAGGCAAACGCUCUUCCCUCCCAUCUCCCCAAGAAGCCAAAGGGACCCCCCCCCCCCCGCUCCCUGCACCAAGGCCCUUUCUGCAGCUGGUGGGCAAGGCUAAAUCCAAGCAGGAAGGGCCUUCUUGGUGUUGCUUCCAGACAGUUUACAGCAUAUCCAUUCCAAUGUAGUCCUUUUGUGUAGUUAGAUGGAACAAUUUUUUGUACAUGUGAAAUAUUAUUGACUGUAUUGUAAGCCAGUGCCUCCCUCUGCCUCACUUUGAACUGUACAGAAUUUCUACUAAUGGGAGAGGGGAAAAUAAAAGAAACAAUGCAAACA